GUGUCAGCAGCCGCGGUAAAACGUAGGAGGCGAGCGUUAUCCGGAUUUACUGGGCGUAAAGGGCGUGCAGGUGGUUUUGUAAGUGGUGCGUGAAAGCGCUCGGCUCAACCGGGCGAGUGCGUGCCAAACUGCGAGACUAGAAACAGGCAGAGGAAAGUGGAAUUCGGGGUGUAGUGGUGAAAUGCGUAGAGAUCCCGAGGAACUCCUGUGGCGAAGGCGACUUUCUGGGCCUGCUUUGACACUCAGACGCGAAAGCAUGGGGAGCGAACGGGAUUAGAUACCCUGGUAGUCC
rnacentral:rRNA from 1 species